UUGGUUUCUAUUCUUACGGGUUGUUCUGUCGAGAGGGCUGGAUAAUCUAGUGAUUAAUUUUGUACUGAUAUAGUGUGACUGGAGUAAUAUGCUGCUCAGAAUGGUUGCUUUCCUAGAAUGCACAGUUUUGAUCAGUUACCUGAGAAGGCAAACACUUCUCAUUGAAGUUCUUAAACCUUGCCUUUAGUGCGAUGAUAGAUUAUCUAUAGGCUUCACUAACAUUGUUUACAAGUGGCUGUAUUGAGUGCUCAAAACUUAUCAAGUGGCAAUGCUUGAAAACAUAUACCUUGUCUAUAGCAGGUCUACUUGCGGUAACAGUCAAAUAAAUGACACUAGUGAAUCUCCUUUUUACUGUCUCCCCUUAUGUGCUGUCUACACUUUCGAGUUUCAUCAACUUCCAUGAUUGUGAUAGAACUUCAUAAGAAAUUUCAAUUUUUAAACUUUUUCCACUUUUCACCAAAAAGAAAGAAUCUUGAGUUCAUGAUGUCAUCAAUUUUGGUUGGUAAUCAGCAUAUGCUAUUUUAGAUUUUGAUACUUUUUUUGGAUUGGAACUUUUGAUACAUGAAUAAGCAUGUGGUGAUAUAUAGUGCACUGAUACUAUAUCUACCACUUCCUUCUGCAUCCAAACAUGUUUUGGCGUGCGCUCAUAUGUUUUCUUGCUUCUUAUAUGUUGCUGAGAAUUUAACUCAUUGAAAGGAUGAAUUGUAUGAAUGAAUGCUGGAAGAGUGGGAGGGAAGGGUGAAUGUUGGCAUGUCCAGCAAAGUUACAACUUCGAUUUGAGAAAGUGUACGGGAUAUGGCUAUUGGCAAAAUUAAAAGUCAUGAGAAAGCUGACCAUGUAACUGUCGAGCAGGUAAAGUACAUUUUCAUCAAAAGAUUGAUCAACGUUAUACAGAGCGUUUGGUAAAUAUUUCGAUGAAAAUUCUCCAUGCUGCCGUUGUAACAACAGCCACAAUACGGUCUCUUUGUACUAAGUGUAAUCUGCUGCUUGGAUUUUUCUCAAGACAAUAUAUCCCCUGUAAAUAUGUGUCCAUCUUAAAGAUCUAUUAGAAUUUUCAGUCAGUUUCUUAUUGGCCUCCUUCCUUUUGCUUUGCACCUCUAUCCCAGGGUGAAAUCUUCUGUACUCGGCAAGAAGCACGAGCGGAAUUAAUUUUCAGAAUCUAUCAUUCUUCAUGGAUAUAGGAAAACAAACUAUAGUUACUUUUAUUUUAUCAUCAAUAGUUUUGAAGUUGAAACGAACCCUAUUGCAAGCUUAAUCUGUCUCUUUGCUAAAUCAAUAUUUCGGUUUGACUGAAUCAUAGCUGAGUAAACUGUAUGAUGUUCGGCCAAAAAAAAAAAUGUUUGAUGGGUGUAUGCAUUGGUUCAUGUCCCCUCUUGCAAUAAUUAUUCAGAAGUAAGACCACUUCUAAAAGUUAUUGCGAUUGCAGUGCCCCAUCCCACUCCUAAAAGUUACUGAAGUGAUACUAGCAUCUCCGAGAAGUUCUCAUGGAUAUGGUUGUGCAGGCUAUUGAUCAGAAGACUCGGAUGGUUCUCUUCAAGAUGCUCAACCAUCAAGUAUUAUCUACAAUCAGCAGUACUCGCUACUUUCUUUUUUUCUAUCAAUUGUUUGUAGGUGGAACUUUUCCACAUCAUUGUUAUAAUUUCAAGAUUUCACUUGUGAUGUAUACUUUUGCUACUACUGCAUAGUCACUGGACCCUUUUGUCACUUUGACUUUUGUUAAGCAAAUGUCUAUCUUGCAACAUAAUCUGACGAGCAAGAAUUGGCAAUCAAAGUCUACAAGACUUCAGUGCUGGUGUUCAAUCAUAUAUACCGAAGACACUAGAUUCGGUGAAAAAUGUGGAAGAGGACGUGAUUUGGAUAACAAGUGGGAAGGACACUGGAGAGAUCUAUUACAAGAAUAUUCCCCGGUUACAUAAGGCUCUCACGAAGGAGGGCGCUAAUGCUAUAGAAAAGCCGACCGAUCCUGGCAACAAUACUAAAGCUGGCGGUAGCAAGUCCAAGUCUGAUACAGAUGUAGAUGAAGAUUCAGAAGGAAAUGAGUCGGCUUCCGAAACUGAGGUGCAGGCUCCUGUUGACAAGAAGGCUGCUAGGAAGGACAAGCAAAAGAAGGUCAAAGAGGAAAAAAGGGAGGCGAGGAAAAACAAAGUCCCCAAGGCUGUGAAGAAAAGAAGGGAGAAGUUGGCCAAAGCCCAAGAGACUAGGUAGUCCUGGGUAGCUGUGGUAUUAAUAUACGUGUGUUUUGGCAUUUGCCAAUAGAGAGAGUGAGUCACCUGUUGGAUAAGUUAAUUUACCAGAUGCGGAGAUGGCUUUGCACUUUUCUGCAGUAGCCCAGUUUUAGCUGAGAGUAAAGCGAGAGGGAUGAGUUUAUGUUGUCUUGUAUUGUGUCUGGGUAUCAUUAUAAGAUGAUGUCGGUAUAUGCUUCCAAGGCAAAUUGUAUAGCAGCUUCUGUUUUUUGUUUUUUUUGUUUUUCCGCUAGUUAUUAUAAAGAAGGAGGUCUUGGUAGGAGCUGUCUAUGAGAGCCUAUGACCUAAUCGAGUCCCGGUUCCGGUCCUCUAUGGACAGUUAGAUACCUUCUGUGAUUUUAUUAUAUAUUUUUCACAUACUUUCGGGGGUGAGAAAAUGAGUAGAUUUUAUCUGUUUGAUUGAGAAUGCUUGGCUGGCUUGGUUUGGCAUUG